CAAGCUAAUUUUAUUAGAACAGAUCUCAAAUGGCUAAUUUCCUUUUACUAAUGAGCAAAUUAGUUGAAUCUCUGAUCUGCUUUUAAGGCACUUAUCCUAAUAAAACAUGAACGACAGUGAAAUUUGUUGUGAUAUGUGGUGACAUGAGCACCAGGGUUGGAGGGAAUCUCAGAGCAUGGAGGGCUGUUUUAACAUAGCCUUGCCCACAGGUGCCUCUGGCCUACACAGGCCAGCCCAGAGCCCCACCCCACCCAAGGGAGGCAGGGUGGCAGACUGAAGAUCACCCUGGGAGGUGGAGGUGGAGGGGAACAAUGCCUGGGCAGCAAAGUAGGUGAGACUUCUGCAAAGCCCCCGGGAGCGGCAGGUGGGGGGGCAGAAUGGCUUCAAAUUUUCAGCAAGAUCCCUUGAGGAAGGGUCUGGCCCCUGCCUCCGCACAUCCUAGCCCUUGUGUGUAGGGAAGAACUUUCAAAGACAUUCCCAGGCCCCUGGUGAUCCAGGCUGGCUCACACCAAAGCUGAAAACCAUCCAGCCAAAGCAUCUUUCCCAAAGCCAGACUGGGGGCUCUUGACUCCUGCUCUUCACGGCAGCUUUGUGAGCCCUGGGAAGUGGGAGGCAUGAUGCCGUGACUUCCCUAGAAGACGGGGCUUUGGCUGGGUUCUGAUCCGGCCAGUUUCUAGUGCAAGCAGCCAGAGAAGGCCUAGGAGAGCGUGGCACGGAGUGGUGAGGUUGGCUGCCACCUGGAAGAGAGGCGCACAGGAAAGCUCUCAGCCAAUCAGAGCCCAGGGAUGCUGUCUCCUGCCUGAAGGAUGGGGGGAGGGCAGGCAUAGGCCAACUUUGAGCUGAAAAGAGGGGUCCUCUGCUUGCUUUGGUGGCAUGCUUGGUGUGUGGCAGAGGGAGAAAACCUGGGGAGGUGCCCCUGCAGCAAGACCAGGGAGCAGGUGGCCCCACCUACCUGGCAAAUACAGGUAACAUCCUCCUGCUUCAAUAGGCUUGGCAAAGAAGGGGAAAAGGGAAUUCCCAGGAAAGAGAUCCAGGACCAGGCCAGCUCUCCAGCCCCAAACGUGCCCUUUACACUAAGAAAGGCUUGAGAGAGCUGGGGGCCUGGGGCAGCCAGCAGCACCUGCCAAGGUCCCGCACAGUGAACUUGACUCAAAGGCCCUCAAAAGGCCCAACAAAAGAAUGAAACCUCCCCAAGGUCCGAUCCCAGCUCAGCCACGUCCAUUUGGAUCCCAACUCACCCAUUUAUUACUAGUGAUGUGAUCUGAGCCCAGUUUCUUUCUCUGUCCCUCGCUCGGUUGCUUUCUUUUUCAAGUAGAGACACUCAUGCUCAUAUAUGUGAGCUCUCGUGUGGCCUCAAUAAAGAAAGAAUCAGAUACCCAGCAAGCUUUUGACAAAUAUGUGUCCUCUCAUUUCUGCAGGUUGGCUUUGGGGAGCUGGUGCCCCUUUUAGGCCAUGUAAAAAGUGCAAGGAUGGGGUUGUAAGAAAACAAGGGGUGGGAAGUCCCCAGGUCACACACAAGGUGCCCAUAUGACUGAACUGCAGCCUCGAGAGGAGAGAAUGCCUCGUCACCAGCAGCAAUCAAGCAUCUACAGGGAUGCCCCGGAGAACUUCCAUUUCCCCUGGGGACAGCCAUGCAAGCCAUCCUUAUCCAACACCUGCCAGGAGUCAUGGGUACCACAACCACCCUCCUGGCUAAUCCGGCCCUUCUCUAGAGGCCCAGAAAAGUCUCCUGUCCUGCAGUCUUCAUGUUAGGAAGGGCUCCCUGGAUCCACCCUACAUCCAGCCCCACAAGUGGCUUUUCCUGGGAAGGGGCCCGAGGUGGGGGGACAGUGGGGACGCCACCAGCCUGCAAGUUUGGGACAAUCUGUAUUUGAGCACUCCUGGCCACUUUCCUCUGUGUGAGCUGCAGCUCUGACCUGCAAGAAGCCACAGCCACAGACCUCAUGAGGGCUCCUGGCGUCUCUCCACGAGCCACCCCACCCCAACGUGUCCAUGCCCCUCCCUCUGCCCGCACUGUCCCUGAGGCCACCUCUCUGAAGUGCUCUGGCCUCAUUCAUUAUUCAGCCAUUUCCUCAGUUCAGAGGCCCGGGGGCCAGAGCAUCGGCAGCCUGUGUGCUCUUUCAUCUCCCAGGUUGCGAGAGGAAUGCAGAAGCGCUGGGCUGGUGUCCAGGAUGCAGACCACAGGCUCUCAGUCCUGGGUCUCGGGGAGCUCUCAUGCUUUAUACCCUGGGACCCACCCCUCACAGAGCCCCUCCACCCCCAUCCGGGGCUUACCCCCCAUGGGCUUUUACUCCUAUCCCCUCCCUGCCUCUGAGUGCAGAGCUGGGAACUGAUCACACAGUGUGUGAGUUCAAGCGCCAGCUCUUUACAAGUGGCAAGUGGUGAGACUUGCCUGUUCUGUAAAUAGCACAUGAGUCACCUGAGAAUGAGCUUUGGGCUGAAGGCAACGUAAAAGCCUUAGUAAAGCCCUGGGCAGAUGCAGAAAGCCCCCUCCUGAAGUGGUGCCAAGAAACGUGCUAAGUCAACUCCCACGUGAGGACCAGCGCCCGAGGCUGUCCCUGACCCCUGUUCCAUGGGCUGGGCUGGAAGGCACACGCCUCUCACAGUACCACUUACCAUUGAUGUGAUGCAGGGGAGUGACAUUGCUCUGCUCCCCCCUCUCAGACUGCAGGCUUUGUCCUGGUCACUCAAGUUUCCCUCCCAAGAUGCACGGACCAGCAACUUAGCCUUCAGUUACUUCAAUAAACAUAAGUGUUGGGGAAGAGGAGACAUACAGGGUCAAAUUGUCUGGUCCUAAAUUUUUUUGGGGGGGGGCUUUUUUUAGGGCUACAUCUGUGACAUAUGGAGGUACCCAGACUAGGCAUGGAGUCAGAGCUGCAGCUGCCAGCCUAUACCACAGCCACAGCAACUCGGGAUCUGAGUCACAUCUGCGACCUACACCACAGCUCACGGCAACACAGGAUCCUUAAUGAGGCCAGGGAUCAAACCCACGUCCUCAUGGAUACUAGUCCGGUCCAUUACCACUAAGCCACAACAGGAACUCCCCAGGUUGCUUUUUUAAAGCCUGACACCCGGAUCUGCAUUCCUUCCCCAUGCUCUCUGCUAUGGUUCCCAUGGAGAGGAGCAGCCUUCGUGUAGAAGAGGGGAUGAUAGUUCUAGACUGGCCAGAAGAGAUAAAGCCAGCCUGUCCAAGACAUCGUGGAGGUCCUGGACUGGAGGGCUAGAGAUCUAAAGCCUUCCAAGGAGCAGAGGGUGGAGAUCCUCUCCUGGGCCUUCCCAACGAACCCCCCUCCAAGCUUCAGGAAUUCAGAAUUUAAUACCACACUACAAAGACUCUGCAUUCACCACCUUAUUGGAUGACGAUGGGGUGGGCAGGGCCAGGGGCUGGAACACUGAGCCCCCGCCCCUCACCCCAGGCUCCAUUACCUGUACUACUAGAGGCGCUGACUUUAGUCCCUAGGGCCACCUCCCAUCCUAUGUGUUCCUGACUGUCUGAAGUCCCGGUCUGCCUCCAAGCAUGGUUUGAGAACCAAAUGAAAUAUGAUCGUGGAGGUACAGGAUGGCCAGGGAACAGAAGGGAUGAUGUUGGGAGCAUGGCAGGAAGGAGAGAAAACACCUGCCUGGGAGUUUCGGGUUGGUAGAUGCAAACUAUUACAUCUAGAAUAGAUAAGCAGUGAAGCCUUGCACAGGGAACUAUACCCAAUCUCUUGUGAUAGAACAUAAUGGAAGAUAAUAGGAGGAAAAGAGCACAUGUGUGUGUGUGUGUUUUCUGUGUCUCAUUGAGGUCCGACGAAAACCUACUCACUCCAGCCCAUCUCUCUGUCUCACUCUUGUCACAGGAUGAAGGAGGCAAUGAAGCUACAUUUGAUUCCUCUCUUGCCCCCAACCCAAGAAUCAAUGAGCUCUCCAAGGCCCCUGGAUCCUUGGCAGCCCUGAGAGCUUUGCCCUCCCAGCCAAGCCCCCAGGGUUUUCCUCCAGCCUAGCUCAGCCAGGGCCCCCUGCUUUGCAGGACCUCGGGCCAGGGCCCUGCAUCAGCAACAGCGGCCCCUCCCCUGUGCCACCAGGCUCCAGCCACUCUGGAGUCCCAGCUCACUUCUCCCUCCCCUCCUGGCUCUCCCUCUGCUCUCCUGACUUGCCCAUAGAUCACCAGGAAUGCAAUACCCUUUAAAAAAAAACCAUUUUGCUCUGAACUAACAGAGUCAGGCCUCAUUGUUCCCAAUAUCACCAAGCAAUUUCUGAGCUAGGGGAGUUUUGAAUUGGAGCAGGAAGAUGGGCAAUUGGGCAAGGUCAGCUGACAGUGCAGAGUGGGGGUUGAGAGCCCCAGGGCAGUGGGAGGAAGGACUCAGCUUGGAACUGGGCUUCCCUAAGGACACUGGGUCUCCAGGGGUGGAAGCAAAGGUGACACCCCAAUAUUUUCUAUCUCUGCACUUCCGACCCCACUCACUGUGCUCAACUAUAGGUUCACCUGGAAUGUAACUUCUUCAUCAACUGACAAAAAUCUCCUUUAACUUAUGCCCACCUGCCCUAAUAGCUCAACUGUCCUUACUGCAAGUUCCUAGAGCAGAAAUCCAGCCAAUGAGAGUUUGAGUGACUCCUGAUCCUGGAGCUCAUUGCCCAGCUCCCAUCUACCCAAGGACUACAAGUGCUCUGCAAGGAAGGGCCUCAGGCCCCUCCUCUGACCCAGCUCUCAAAGAAUUACUUGCCCCCAAGUUGGCUAUCAUGACAUUUGGCUCUUGCACAAAUUUAGGAGCGCCUCUUAGGUCUUUUAGCUCCUAGACCACAUACUACAAACACAGCAUUGGGCUCUGUACGUUAAAAGCUGAAUGCUAUUAUAAACUACUUCUGAGCAGGGGCCAUUUUAUUUAUUUAUCUCUAUAUCUUCAGUCCCAAACAGAGUUCCAAAUACACAGUAGGGUCUUAAUAAAUGUAAAAUGAACAGAAUAUGCCAGUGGUUGUACAAUCCUGGACACAAUGUUGAUUGACUAAUACUAUGUAUCUAAAGAGACAUCAAAAACACUCUUACAUGGAGUUCCCAUUGUGGCUCAGUAGGUUAAGAACCCAACUAGUAUCUAUGAGGACGCGGGUUUGAUCCCUGGCCUCGCUCAGUGGAUUAAGGAUCUGGCAUUGCCAUGGGCUGCAGCCUAGGUUGCAGAGGCAGCUCAGAUCUGGCAUUGCCAUGGCUGUGGUAUAGUCCAGCAGCUAUAGCUCUAGUUUGACCCCUAGCCUGGGAACUUCUAUGUGCCACAGGUGCAGCCCUAAAAAGGAAAAAACAAAACAAAACUCUUAAGGGAAAGAAUUCCACUCCCCACAGUCCUAGAACAGAACUCUUGGUGAUGAAGGAGAUGCUCUAGAUCUGAGCUGCCCCAGUACAUAGCCACCAACUACCUGGGGCUAUUGAGCACCUGAAAUGUGGCUGGUGUGACCGAGGACUGGAUUUGACAUUUUAAUUAAUUCUAAUUUAAACAGCCACAUGUAGCUGAUGGCUACCCAACUGGACAGUGCCAUCCUAGAAAGAGAAGUCUCUGGAGAUGAGCUCCUAAAUGAACUGAAUACAAAAGCUCCCACUCAGAGCUUGGUGCCUCGGCAGAGCGUAGUAAUGAAGAGUGUGGUCCAGGGUUGGAAUCCUCGAUCUCACAGUACCAGUCAGUUAUUUAACUCUCUGCUCUUCUAUUUCUUGUCUGAAUAACAAGAAUAACAUUUAUCACACAGGAUUUCUGUGAGGAUCAAAUGAAUUCACACAUUUAAACAGUGUCUUGCAGGAGUUCCCUGGUGGCCUAGUGGUCAAGGACUUGGUAUUGUCACAGGUGUUGCGUGGGUCACUGCUGUGGCGUGGGCUCCAUCCCUGGCCCAGGAACUUCCUCAUGCUGCAGGCACAGCCCAAAUAAAUAAAUAAACAGCAUCUUGUACCUUAUAAUGAGUACCCCACCAGUAUGAACUGUUACCAUCACUGGCAUUUAAAAUGUUUGUUGGGUCUGAAUGUGCAUCUACCAAAGCAUAUCUGCUAAAAUUUUUGAACACAUACCAAGUGUCAAGUACUGUGCUAAGACAAUUACCCUAAGAGUGAUAAUGAUUAUCAACAUAUUAAAGGUGAGGAGUUCCUGUCGUGGCUCAGUGGCUAACAAAUCCGACUAGGAACCAUGAGGUUGAGGGUUUGAUCCCUGGCCUCGCUCAGUGGGUUAAGGAUCCGGUGUUGCCGUGAGCUGUGGUGUAGGUUGCAGACAAGGCUCGGAUCCCGAGUUGCUGUGGCUGUGGCGAAGGCCAGCGGCUACAGCUCCAAUUCGACCCCUAGCCUGGGAACCCCCAUAUGCCACAGGUGCGGCCCAAAAAAUGGCAAAAAAAAAAAAAA
rnacentral:lncRNA from 1 species